rnacentral:misc_RNA from 1 species
AUAAUAAUAAUAAUAAAUCUGUUUAAGGAAUAACAAAUUGCAAUAAAUGCGUAAAUUUGCAAAAUUUUAACGAAAAAUAUGCAACUAUUUAAGUAUUUAUACACUGUUUAUGAGUUAAGUUCAUCAUAAACCGAAGUAAAAUAUCACAUCCAAAUGUCACCACCAAAAGGAGUCAUGAUUCAAAAACAAUUUGGCAAACAAUGUGAAGAUAGUAAAGUUUAAUUUACAUCCUUCAAAUAAAUUAAAAAAUUUGUUGUCUUGUAAGCUAGGAUUUAAAUUUUGGUAAGCAGAGUCUAGUUGGAUCUUUGAGAUCAUAAUAGUUAUGAAAGAAAUUUCAACUGUUUAGCACGAAGUAAAUGGAAGAGAACCAAAUUAGGUAAAAAAUACCUCAGGAAUUUAUAAAGGCUCAAGCUUUAAGGCCUUCAAUUUAAUGUUGUAAAUGGCCAUUAUCAUUGCCUAAUGGUUGUUACCUAUACCUUUUCUUUGCCCCAUCAUAGGCAAUAAGCCUAAAAAAUCCUUCAUGUCAUCGCAGUUACAUUAAACUAAGGCCAUUAACUAAGAACAAUGGGUGCAUGCAUUCAUGAGAAUCCUCAUACAGAACAAUCUUAACCAUUAAGCGGUAUACGCCAAGCACCAAAGAGGUUUCAUCCUACUACUACAGUUUAGGAACAAAUAAUUUGUCCAUUGUGAAAGAAAGCAUCGUUUAACCAAGCAUAAACACUAUGUUCUGCAUCUCUUGCUGGGCAUUUCAAUAUUAGAGCUCUCUUACUACUGGCACAAAUUCUUGCUAAUCCAGAUAUUUGCUUGACAUGAUCUCUCUCUUCUAAUGACAUUGUCUAAAAUUCUUUACCAAAAAUGGUCAAAUUCCUGUGACCAUUGACCACUUUAUUUUGAUAUCCUUCCUUAAGCCACAGGGCUGUAGACCUAUUCUUCUUUAAGCAACAGGGCUGUAGUCUACACCUUUGUCCAAUUGCCCCCAAAACUGGUCUGGUUGGAAAUGGCAAAUUAUCAUCAAGAAAAGACCAAAAAAGAGAGAGAAAGAAAGAGGAUGUUGGAACCCAACCAAGCCUGCAGAAUAAAUCCAGAAAAAAGUCCAUUGAGAUUGCUUUGAUAUAAGCUUUUUCUAUGAAAAUCCAGCAGAAACUAAAGUAAGAGGGUGAGCUUUUCCUAUGAAAAUCCAGCAGAAUCUUGCGCAAGUUGAACUGACGAUUCCAGCAUGAUUCUGGCUAUAACAUGGUGCAUAGGGCUGCACAAUAAACGGUUUUAACCAAUAAAACCAAACUGAACAGAUCUAGUUUGGUUUUUCAGUAAUCCGGUUUGGUUUUUUGUUAUAUCUUUUUCAAAAUCAGGUUUUUUGGUUCGGUUUGAUUAAUUUAGACACAAAACCAAACUAAUCAAAUAGAACGAACCCAUUUCUUAUAUUGUGUUGUUUGACCUCCACAUAAAAUCCCUAAACUCCUCCCCUUUUCCGAUUUGGUUAGAUUAAUUUAGUCGAAAAACCGAAUUAACCAAAUAGAACUAACCCAUUUCUUAUAUUGUGUCAUUUGUCCUCUCAAUAAAAUCCUUGAACUCUUCCCCAAACCCUAGUUCCCCUCUGCCUCCCAGGUCCUUAGCCCUUGAUCUCAGGACCCUCUCUGCCUCACCUCUGUGAAAUCAAUUCCCUACAUUCUCUCUUAGUCUCUUUCAUGGCCAGCCACAACCCUUAAGCCUCCCUUUGUGAUUAUGGCCCCUCCUACUCUUAGCCUUCUUCCGUAUUUUUAUUUUACUUUAUCUUUGCUUUUGUGGUUAUCUGUUUCCAUUUGCUUUUGUGGUCAUCCAUUUCAAAUCUCAUUACCUGGAAACUUUUCAAUUAGAGAUUUCCUCUUCUAGAAACCUCUCUUCCUCAAUCACUCUUAUUGCAACGUCUUCGAGAUCAAAUGCACUUUAUCCAUGAUCUGAUUCUCCAAACUCUAGAGUCGCUAUGUCCAACACCUACGAUAACGAAAACUCCAGGCUGAAUAUCAAUUUUAUUGCUCUAUACUUUUGAAGUCUUUUUUGUAGGAUCGAUUGUUGCAUGUAUAAUUCACAGAUUCAGUGAUUCUAGUAUUUGUGAUUGUUUUCUUGGGUCUGCGAUUUGUACUUAUAGUUUAUGUUUGAGUAGAUUUGCCUGGGAUUGUGUUAGGACUCUAAAAAUUGGUUAUCUAUAGGUUGUAAUGACGCAACGUAUAGCGCGAAAAUAAAUCCAGAGCCGCUAUGUCCAAAUCCCUUAAAAUAAACAAGAUCUAAUCCAAG